rnacentral:rRNA from 1 species
UAAGACGUAGGGCGCGAGCGUUGUCCGGAUUUAUUGGGCGUAAAGAGCUCGUAGGCGGCUCGUUGCGUCGGCUGUGAAAACCCGCAGCUCAACUGUGGGCUUGCAGCUGAUACGGGCGGGCUGGAGUUCGGUAGGGGAGACUGGAAUUCCUGGUGUAGCGGUGAAAUGCGCAGAUAUCAGGAGGAACACCGGUGGCGAAGGCGGGUCUCUGGGCCGAUACUGACGCUGAGGAGCGAAAGCGUGGGGAGCGAACAGGAUUAGAUACCCUGGUAGUCCACGCUGUAAACGUUGGGCGCUAGGUGUGGGGGGCCUCUCCGGUUCUCUGUGCCGCAGCUAACGCAUUAAGCGCCCCGCCUGGGGAGUACGGCCGCAAGGCUA